UUAUUCAGAGCUAUGACUGUGCGAACAGAGUCAAACGGUGGGUAGACGGUUUACACCCACCCGUGUCUAUAUACUCUCCCCCUUUAGGCGGGCCGUGGCCUCCACUGCGGGCUCUGCUCGCGCCUGCCCGCCAGAGAACCAAACUCUGAAUGUUAGUGAUGUCUGAGUACUAUAUAAUAGUUAAAACUUUCAACAACGGAUCUCUUGGUUCUGGCAUCGAUGAAGAACGCAGCGAAAUGCGAUAAGUAAUGUGAAUUGCAGAAUUCAGUGAAUCAUCGAAUCUUUGAACGCACAUUGCGCCCUGUGGUAUUCCGCAGGGCAUGCCUGUUCGAGCGUCAUUUAACCAAUCAAGCCUAGCUUGGUAUUGGGGCACGUGGUUCCGCGGCCCUCAAAAUCAGUGGCGGCGCCGGUGGGCUCUAAGCGUAGUACAUACUCCCGCUAUAGAGUUCCCCCGGUCGCUCGCUAGAACCCCCUCAUUUUUACAGGUUGACCUCGGAUCAGGUAGGGAUACCCGCUGAACUUAAGCAUAUCAAUAAGGCGGAGGAUUAUUCAGAGCUAUGACUGUGCGAACAGAGUCAAACGGUGGGUAGACGGUUUACACCCACCCGUGUCUAUAUACUCUCCCCCUUUAGGCGGGCCGUGGCCUCCACUGCGGGCUCUGCUCGCGCCUGCCCGCCAGAGAACCAAACUCUGAAUGUUAGUGAUGUCUGAGUACUAUAUAAUAGUUAAAACUUUCAACAACGGAUCUCUUGGUUCUGGCAUCGAUGAAGAACGCAGCGAAAUGCGAUAAGUAAUGUGAAUUGCAGAAUUCAGUGAAUCAUCGAAUCUUUGAACGCACAUUGCGCCCUGUGGUAUUCCGCAGGGCAUGCCUGUUCGAGCGUCAUUUAACCAAUCAAGCCUAGCUUGGUAUUGGGGCACGUGGUUCCGCGGCCCUCAAAAUCAGUGGCGGCGCCGGUGGGCUCUAAGCGUAGUACAUACUCCCGCUAUAGAGUUCCCCCGGUCGCUCGCUAGAACCCCCUCAUUUUUACAGGUUGACCUCGGAUCAGGUAGGGAUACCCGCUGAACUUAAGCAUAUCAAUAAGGCGGAGGA
rnacentral:misc_RNA from 1 species